AAUUUUGGACAAUGGGGGCAACCCUGAUCCAGCCAUCCCGCGUGUGCGAUGAAGGCCUUCGGGUUGUAAAGCACUUUUGGUAGGGAAGAAAAGGCUCUGGCUAAUACCUGGAGCUGCUGACGGUACCUGCAGAAUAAGCACCUGCUAACUACGUGCCAGCAGCCGGGGUAAUACGUAGGGUGCAAGCGUUAAUCGGAAUUACUGUGCGUAAAGCGUGCGUCGGCGGUUUGGCAAGAAAGGUGUGAAAUCCCAGAGCUUAACUUUGGAACUGCACUUUUAACUGCCAGGCUAGAGUAUGUCAGAGGGGGGUAGAAUUCCGCGUGUAGCAGUGAAAUGCGUAGAGAUGCGGAGGAAUACCGAUGGCGAAGGCAGCCCCCUGGGAUAAUACUGACGCUCAGGCACGAAAGCGUGGGGAGCAAAC
rnacentral:rRNA from 1 species